CAUGAACGCUGGCGGCGUGCCUAACACAUGCAAGUCGAGCGAUUUACUUCGGUAAAGAGCGGCGGACGGGUGAGUAACGCGUGGGUAACCUGCCCUGUACACACGGAUAACAUACCGAAAGGUAUGCUAAUACGAGAUAAUAUGCUUUUAUCGCAUGGUAGAAGUAUCAAAGCUUUUGCGGUACAGGAUGGACCCGCGUCUGAUUAGCUAGUUGGUAAGGUAACGGCUUACCAAGGCGACGAUCAGUAGCCGACCUGAGAGGGUGAUCGGCCACAUUGGAACUGAGACACGGUCCAAACUCCUACGGGAGGCAGCAGUGGGGAAUAUUGCACAAUGGGCGAAAGCCUGAUGCAGCAACGCCGCGUGAGCGAUGAAGGCCUUCGGGUCGUAAAGCUCUGUCCUCAAGGAAGAUAAUGACGGUACUUGAGGAGGAAGCCCCGGCUAACUACGUGCCAGCCGCCGCGGUAACAC
rnacentral:rRNA from 1 species